rnacentral:rRNA from 1 species
GACGAACGCUGGCGGCGUGCUUAACACAUGCAAGUCGAACGAUGAAGCCCUCUUGCUGUUGGAUUCUUGGCUAACGGGCGAGUAACUCGUGGGUGAUUUGCCCCCCCCUUUCGUUUAUGCCUCGUCAACUGGCUCUAAUUCCUACUAUGUCCGAUCCUCUCCUGGGUGUUGGUGGUUAGCUCCGGCGGUUUGGGAUGGGUCCGCGGCCUAUCAGCUUGUUGGUGGGGUAGUGGCUUACCAAGGCGACGACGGGUAGCCGGCCUGAGAGGGCGACCGGCCACACUGGGACUGAGAGACGGCCCAGACUCCUAUGGGAGGCAGCAGUGGGGAAUAUUGCACAAUGGGCGGAAGCCUGAUGCAGCAACGCCGCGUGAGGGAUGACGGCCUUCGGGUUGCAAACCGCUUUCACCAGGGACGAAGCGAAAGUGACGGUAACGGGAGAAGAAGCACCGGCCAACUACGUG